rnacentral:rRNA from 1 species
GAUGAACGCUGGCGGCGUGCCUAAUACAUGCAGGUCGAGCGAACAGACGAGGAGCUUGCUCCUCUGACGUUAGCGGCGGACGGGUGAGUAACACGUGGAUAACCUACCUAUAAGACUGGGAUAACUUCGGGAAACCGGAGCUAAUACCGGAUAAUAUAUUGAACCGCAUGGUUCAAUAGUGAAAGACGGUUUUGCUGUCACUUAUAGAUGGAUCCGCGCCGCAUUAGCUAGUUGGUAAGGUAACGGCUUACCAAGGCAACGAUGCGUAGCCGACCUGAGAGAGUGAUCGGCCACACUGGAACUGAGACACGGUCCAGACUCCUACGGGAGGCAGCAGUAGGGAAUCUUCCGCAAUGGGCGAAAGCCUGACGGAGCAACGCCGCGUGAGUGAUGAAGGUCUUCGGAUCGUAAAACUCUGUUAUUAGGGAAGAACAAAUGUGUAAGUAACUAUGCACGUCUUGACGGUACCUAAUCAGAAAGCCACGGCUAACUACGUG